rnacentral:rRNA from 1 species
AGCGAACGCUGGCGGCAGGCUUAACACGUGCAAGUCGAGCGGGCACUUUCGGGUGUCAGCGGCGGACGGGUGAGUAACGCGUGGGAACGUGCCCUCUGGUUCGGAAUAACUCAGGGAAACUUGAGCUAAUACCGGAUACGCCCUUUUGGGGAAAGGCUUGCUGCCGGAGGAUCGGCCCGCGUCUGAUUAGCUAGUUGGUGAGGUAACGGCUCACCAAGGCGACGAUCAGUAGCUGGUCUGAGAGGAUGAUCAGCCACACUGGGACUGAGACACGGCCCAGACUCCUACGGGAGGGAGCAGUGGGGAAUAUUGGACAAUGGGCGCAAGCCUGAUCCAGCCAUGCCGCGUGAGUGAUGAAGGCCUUAGGGUUGUAAAGCUCUUUUAUCCGGGACGAUAAUGACGGUACCGGAGGAAUAAGCCCCGGCUAACUUCGUG